GAUGAACGCUGGCGGCGUGCCUAAUACAUGCAAGUCGAGCGAACAGACGAGGAGCUUGCUCCUCUGACGUUAGCGGCGGACGGGUGAGUAACACGUGGAUAACCUACCUAUAAGACUGGGAUAACUUCGGGAAACCGGAGCUAAUACCGGAUAAUAUAUUGAACCGCAUGGUUCAAUAGUGAAAGACGGUUUUGCUGUCACUUAUAGAUGGAUCCGCGCCGCAUUAGCUAGUUGGUAAGGUAACGGCUUACCAAGGCGACGAUGCGUAGCCGACCUGAGAGGGUUAUCGGCCAAAAUGGAACCGAGACCCGGUCCAGACUCCUACGGGAGGCAGCAGUAGGGAAUCUUCCGCAAUGGGCGAAAGCCUGACGGAGCAACGCCGCGUGAGUGAUGAAGGUCUUCGGAUCGUAAAACUCUGUUAUUAGGGAAGAACAAAUGUGUAAGUAACUAUGCACGUCUUGACGGUACCUAAUCAGAAAGCCACGGCUAACUACGUG
rnacentral:rRNA from 1 species